CGCCAUCCGCGCCGCCGCGCCCGCGCACUCCGGGAACUACUCCUGCCGCGCCGCCAACACCGAGCCCGCGCACAUCUACGUCUACGUCUCCGAGGGCAGUGACAAGAUGGCCGCCACUCUGAGUCGCAACGCGAGCAACCAGCCGAGCACGUGGCUCGCGCUGCUCACGGCGGCCGCGGUCGCAGUGCUGCGGCUCACACUGCGAGUAUAGUCACUAGUGAUCCAACUCGACGUAUACUAUACAUAACUUCUGGGCUUUCAUUCGCUAUAGCGAUUAAAACGACACAUUUUACUGAAGUAGAACUUUCUUUACGCACGCUUGACUUGCGGAGUAAGCUGGUGAUUGCGUGACGAGAGCGUUACUAAAAGUGUAAUCGAGUGAGGCGAACGGAGC
rnacentral:misc_RNA from 1 species